AGUUCAUUAAGUUGGAGGGGAUAAUCUCCCAGCCAGACAAAGGAAGAUAUUGAAACUGAAGAAGCAGCCUUGAGGAGUUUGGUCAUGGUGCUGAGUACCUGGUUCACUGGAGGCGAAAAAUUCUGAACUCAACAUAUGUCAAGCAAUGAAAAUGCCUCAAGCACAUCAAAUACCAGCCCAUUAUACAGAUAAAUGAAAGAAACUGAGCUGCAAUGCUCACAGGGUGAACAAUGGGUGAAUUCUCUCCUCGCUUUGACACCUGGGCUGGCAGGGAGGACACAGUGACCUCGGCCGCCGAUGCUGCCUGUGCCAUCACCUGGCACUGCCGUGCUUGAUGAAAGUAAUUUCGCUGGGAUUUUUCUCCUGAGAAGCCUAAAAACAGA